AAUCCUAGUUCGCCUUGAGCAUUUGGGUCAAAGGGACGAAUUAUACGGUAACCAUAUGCCAGUAAAUUCUAGAAGGUUGCUUUGUAAUACUUUGACCUAUCCGAUCGUUGGAUCAUCAUUGCUAGAUGGUUAUAUCGAUUGGUAUAGAAAGUUAUUUCUAUGCUACUGGCUUAGGUUCGAACCUAUGGAGUCAUAUGCAUUAGAAGAUUUGGUCAGAUCAGAUGGCUGAAUAGUCCACUUCUGUGUACUAAAUAAAAGUGGAAUAUUGUUGCUCCUUGAAUUGAUUUUGAUGAUUACAAAGUAUUUGAG
rnacentral:lncRNA from 1 species